CCAAUAGCGUAUAUUAAAGUUGUUGCAGUUAAAAAGCUCGUAGUUGAAUUUUAGGCCUGGCCGGACGGUCCGUCUCUGGCGAGUACUGUUCUGUCGUCGGGUCUAUCCUUCUGGUAAGCCGGUAUGUUCUUAAUUGGGCGUGUCGGGGAGCCAGGACCAUUACCUUGAAAAAAUUAGAGUGUUUAAAGCAGGCUUUUGCUUGAAUAGAUUAGCAUGGAAUAAUAGAAUAGGACGUUGUGGUUCUAUUUUGUUGGUUCAAGGACCACCGUAAUGAUUAAUAGGGAUAGUUGGGGGCAUUAGUAUUCAAUUGUCAGAGGUGAAAUUCUUGGAUUUAUUGAAGACUAACUACUGCGAAAGCAUUUGCCAAGGAUGUUUUCAUUAAUCAAGAACGAAAGUUAGGGGAUCGAAGACGAUCAGAUACCGUCGUAGUCUUAACCAUAAACUAUGCCGACUAGGAAUCGGGCGACGUUAUUUUCACGACUCGCUCGGCGCCUUAUG
rnacentral:rRNA from 1 species